rnacentral:rRNA from 1 species
UCGUCAGUUCGUACCCGCAAGGCGUUCUGUUAAGUCAGAUAACGAACGAGACCNUCAUCCCCUAUUUGCUAACCCCGAUCUCCGGAUCAGGCCGCACUAUAGGGAGACCCGCUGGCGCGAAGUCAGAGGAAGGCGAGGGCAACGGUAGGUCAGUAUGCUCCGAAUGCUAUGGGCUACACGCGCAAUACAAAGGACGGGACAAUGGGCUGCUGCUCCGAAAGGAACGAUGGCUAUCCCGAAACCCGUUCGUAGUUCGGAUUGAGGGCUGUAACUCGCCCUCAUGAAGCUGGAUUAGGUAGUAAUCGCGUCUCAAAAAGGCGCGGUGAAUAUGCCCCUGCUCCUUGCACACACCGCCCGUCAAACCAUCUUAGUUGUGGGUGGGUGAGGCUACCUCUCUGUGUGGUAUUCGAGCCUGCCUUCGACAAGGAGGGUUAAGUCGUAACAAGGUA